UUACUUUGUUGCUUUGGCGAGCUGCCUUCGGGCCUUGUAUGCUCGCCAGAGAAAACCAAAACUCUUUUUAUUAAUGUCGUCUGAGUACUAUAUAAUAGUUAAAACUUUCAACAACGGAUCUCUUGGUUCUGGCAUCGAUGAAGAACGCAGCGAAAUGCGAUAAGUAAUGUGAAUUGCAGAAUUCAGUGAAUCAUCGAAUCUUUGAACGCACAUUGCGCCCCUUGGUAUUCCGGGGGGCAUGCCUGUUCGAGCGUCAUUUCAACCCUCAAGCUUAGCUUGGUAUUGAGUCUAUGUCAGUAAUGGCAGGCUCUAAAAUCAGUGGCGGCGCCGCUGGGUCCUGAACGUAGUAAUAUCUCUCGUUACAGGUUCUCGGUGUGCUUCUGCCAAAACCCAAAUUUUUCUAUGGUUGACCUCGGAUCAGGUAGGGAUACCCGCUGAACUUAAGCAUAU
rnacentral:rRNA from 1 species